rfam:Corchorus olitorius cultivar O-4 contig21805, whole genome shotgun sequence.
UAAUGAAGGAAGCAUGGUAGUGUGCACAGAGAAUGAAUGGUCGACAUGUCUGCUCCCUCUGAUUCUCCAUCUGAUGAGGGGGCCUGGUUUAGACCCACAUUU